CCUACGGGAGGCAGCAGUAGGGAAUAUUGCGCAAUGGGGGAAACCCGGAAGCAGCAACGCCGCGUGGAGGAUGAAGGUGUUCGGGUUGUAAACUCCUUUUGGUAGAGAAGAGAAUGACGGUAUCUAACGAAUAAGCACCGGCGAACGCCGUGCCAGCAGCCGCGGUAAGACGGAGGGUGCAAGCGUUCCUCGGAACCACUGGGCGUAAAGAGCGCGUAGGCGGGAUCGCAAGGCAGAUGUGAAAUCCUAUGGCUUAACCAUAGAACUGCAUUUGAAACUGUUAUUCUAGAGUAUGGGAGAGGUAGGUGUCAUUCUUUGUGUUGCGGUCACCUCCGUCGCGCUCCCGAGGCCUUCUCAUUGC
rnacentral:rRNA from 1 species